rnacentral:tRNA from 1 species
ACCUGGCUGGCUCAGUCUGUAUAGCAUGCAACUUUUGAUCUCAAGGUUGUGGGUUUGAACCCCACUUUGGGUG